AGGUGUGGUGUGUGACCAGGUGUGGUGUGCUGUGGGGUGAGUUCUGCGGUGGUGUCAUGUCCCGUUGUGUGUGGGGUUGGCGUUGAACUGCCUACUGUGUGCACGUGUGUGUGUGUGUGUGUACACAAGGUUACAUGAUGUUGGAGCCUAUCUGUUGGCUGACGAGGAGUGCAGUCUGAUCCAGCAGGUUCACGCCAUCAGUAAUGUAGAGGAGUCUAUCUACAUGGAGUCUUCUGUCCAGCCCUAUGGGCCCCAGGCCAGGCACAUGGCUCAGGCAGACCUGAAGAGCUCUACGUUUUGGCUAAGGGCAAGCGUGGGGGCAACCGUGUUUGCAGUCCUGGGCUUCGCUAUGUACAGAGCUAUCCUCAAACAACGAUGAUCAAGACGGACACAGGAUACAUGAGAUGACCAUUGACCCGCCCCCCACCGCCUAGUCUCUGCCCGUUGACCCCUUAUCCCCUCCCUGAAAGAAAACAUGAUCUCCAACAUCCCACAAUCCUCUGCUCCCCUUCCCCAAAAAAGAGACAACUACUGAAUGAAACGGAACUUCCAGCCCAUCUGAACCAGCCCUGAUCCCACAUCCACCCUACCGGAGAAGGAACAAACUGGAGAAACCAUAGAUUGAUUUUAUAUAUUUGAAACGGAGAAAAAAACUUGUCAUCAAAUGUUUUUUGUUUUUCUUUGGGGGAAAAAAUGUCACCACAAACUCACAUUGUAUUUUUUGAACACCAUCUAAUCAAUCUACCGCAGGCAUUCUGGUAUCGUGUGAUCUGGUCGAGUCUUGGGGUUUUUUCUUCUCCAGGUCAGACAGUAGCAGUUGCUGAUUGUUUUUAAAUCUGUGUAGAACCCGGUCUUUUUUCUCAGGUCAGUAUUAUAGCUAGCUGGUUUGACCCCCAGAGCCCAGGAGAAAGCAAAGAAGGCAGCCGCAUACAACUCACUACAAAAGGGACUGAAAAUAUUUGUUUAUAGGUAUGUGUGUGUAUAUAUAAAUAUAUAUAUUUGCUCGGGUACUUAGAGAAAUACCCAACUAGAUUACGGCGUGAACAAAGCUUGCCAGGAUCAAAGCAUUCAGUUCUGUAACACCUCAACAGUGAGCCUACAGGAAGAGCUGCAAAGUCAAAGCCAUUUUUAACUUGAAAAGGUCAUGGGGGUUUCAAUCGCUAUUAAUUUAUUAACCUGUUUUCUUUGGUUUAUCAGUUUGGAAUGGUUUGUUCAGCAUUGCAUGAAACAGACGCACUUCUAGAGGAUAAUGCAUUCAUUUCCCAUGUGUUUUUGUAUAUCUAGUAUUAUCAAAGCCGUUAUUAAUAAUGACAUCCAUCAUUCACUAACUCUGAAAGACAAAAUACUACAACAUUAUCAUGACUGCUUCUUCCUCCACUUGUUUUAUUUUCCUGUUUUUAAAAUAGCUUUUUUCCUUUCAUAUUGUGAUUCUAUUUGUCUGUUCCACUGUUAUGCCUCCAGAUUCCACUAUGUUAUUAACAGCCAUGCAGUGCACCUCUGACUCCCUCCUUGGACCAUGGACAGAACUGUUUAUUCUCAUUGACUUUUCCAACAUUUACAAUAAAGAACUGUGUGAUCUGA